GUGAGUAGUUCAGAGUUUGAUCCUGGCUCAGGAUUAACGCUGGCGGCGUGCAUAACACAUUCAAGUCGAACGGUGAAGGGGCUUCGGCCUCCUGAUCAGUGGCGGACGGGUGAGUAACGCGUGAGCAAUCUACCGUCUUGGUGAGGGAUAAACAACCGGAAACAGUUGCUAAUACCUCAUGAAACGGCAGCAUCGCAUGGUGCAACCGUCAAAGAUUUAUUGCCAAGAGAUGAGCUUGCGUCUGAUUAGGUAGUUGGUGGGGUAACGGCCCACCAAGGCGGCGAUCAGUAGCCGGACUGAGAGGUUGAUCGGCCACAUUGGGACUGAGAUACGGCCCAG
rnacentral:rRNA from 1 species